AUGGCGGAGGUGCGGAGCCGGGUGCGGGGGUUCCUGCGGAACCGGUGGCUGGUGUUCGUGGCGGCGAUGUGGAUGCAGUCGGUCGCCGGGGUGGGGUACCUGUUCGGCAGCCUGUCGCCGGCGAUCAAGUCCUCGCUGGGCUACAACCAGCGCCAGGUGGCCAGCCUCGGCGUCGCCAAGGAUCUGGGCGACAGCGUCGGCUUCCUCGCCGGCACGCUCUGCGCCGUGCUCCCGCUCUGGGCCGCGCUCCUCAUCGGCGCCGCGCAGAACCUCGUCGGGUACGGUUGGGUCUGGCUCGCCGUCACUCACCGCGUCCCCGUGCCACCGCUCUGGGCGAUGUGCAUGCUAAUCUUUGUUGGAAAUAAUGGUGAGACAUACUUCAAUACUGCUGCACUCGUCUCAUGUGUUCAGAACUUUCCCAAGAACCGUGGACCAAUCGUUGGUAUCCUCAAGGGAUUUGCUGGUUUGAGUGGUGCAAUCUUAACACAGGUUUAUGCAAUAAUGCACACGCCUGAUGAUGCUGCACUGAUAUUCAUGGUUGCUGUUGGCCCAACAUUGGUAGUCAUCGCUUUAAUGUUCAUUGUUAGACCAGUUAAUGGUCACAGACAAGUACGGCCGUCUGAUGGUACAAGUUUCACGUUUGUAUACAGCGUCUGCUUAGUCUUGGCCGCCUAUCUGAUGGGUGUGAUGCUGCUGGAAGACCUUGUUGGCUUGAGCCACUCAUUGACAAUCUUGUGUACCAUCAUUCUGAUGGUUCUUUUGCUAGUUCCAAUAGUCAUCCCUGUAAUGCUCAGCUUCUUCUCAAAUGACGACGAGAGUGCCUACACAGCACUGUUAACAUCACCUCGGAGAGAAGAAGCAAGUGGUUCAGUAUCGUCUGAAGAGCAAGAAGUUAUACUCAGCGAGGUGGACGAGCAAAAGCCGAAAGAAAUUGAUCUACUUCCAGCCUCUGAAAGGCAAAAGAGGAUUGCCGAAUUGCAGGCUAAGCUAUUCCAGGCUGCUGCUGUUGGCGCCGUCAGGGUUAAAAGGAGGAAAGGUCCACGACGAGGAGAGGAUUUCACAUUACUGCAGGCAAUGAUCAAGGCAGAUUUUUGGCUUCUAUUUUUCUCCCUUCUGUUGGGGUCAGGAUCAGGACUUACUGUGAUCGAUAAUCUUGGGCAAAUGAGUCAGUCAUUGGGUUUUGAGGAUUCUCACAUUUUUGUGUCAAUGAUUAGCAUUUGGAACUUCCUUGGACGUAUUUCUGGGGGCUUCUUGUCAGAGAUUAUUGUCAAGGAUUACGCAUAUCCAAGGGCAAUUGCCUUGGCGACAGCUCAAGUAUUCAUGGCAAUUGGACACUUCAUCUUCGCAAUGGGUUGGCCGGGCACGAUGUACAUUGGCACAUUGCUUAUCGGGCUUGGGUACGGCGCCCACUGGGCGAUCGUGCCAGCUGCUGCCUCUGAACUGUUUGGCGUGAAGAAUUUCGGAGCAUUGUACAACUUCCUUACAGUUGCAAACCCCGCAGGCUCCCUGGUUUUCUCGGGCAUCAUUGCCAGUGGCAUCUAUGACUACGAAGCCAGGAAGCAAGCUAACCAUAACCACUCAACAUUACUGGGAAUGGUCUCCGACGUCACUCCGGCGCUGAAGUGCGAGGGCUCCAUCUGCUUCUUCAUCUCGUCAAUGAUCAUGUCAGGGUUCUGCAUCAUUGCUGCCGCCCUGAGCUUGAUCCUGGUCCACCGGACGAAGAUCGUGUACACGAAUCUGUACGGUAAACCCCGGACAUGA
rnacentral:rRNA from 1 species